ensembl:lncRNA
GGGUAAUCAGAGGGGUAAUCAGAGGGGUAAUCAGAGGGGUAAUCAGAGGGGUAAUCAGAGGGGUAAUCAGAGGGGUAAUCAGAGGGGUAAUCAGAGGGUAAUCAACAAAGUAAUGGAGUCCAAUAUUGCGCAGCUGCGCAUAAUGAUGGUGACAGGUGUGUGUAAUGAAGGGCAGCCUGGUGCCCUUGAGCGCCAGAGAGGGGGAGCGGGAGCAAGCGUGACACAGAUCAGCUUUGCAAUAAAUAACUUCAGCCAGACCCCCUUUCACUCGCAGAGGGGAACUGGUGGGGUGUUGACAGCUCACACCCUGUUGUAAAUCAAAGACAAGAACAUUCAACUAUCUCCCUCUUCAAAUUCACCAAAGGAAUGGAAUGUGCCUUUGUCUACACAGACAUUUUCCCGCCAAAACUUGAACACGUUCUAAAGUGAAUACUGGAACAUUAUUUCUAACAGAGAAUGUGGGGUCAGAGGUGAUCUAAAGAAUAAUAAUGUGAUUUGGUUGUUAUUUUGUGAUGUCAUUAAAAAUAUUAUAGAGGAAAUACUGUAAAUUGAAAAGUAUACACAGUACAUGUAUGAAGUUUCCAUCCUCUAUGUUGUGUACUAAAUAUGAAAAAUUAUGAAAGUGUUUUUGCUAAGAGAGGGAUGUGACUGGUAGUGUAUUGUAGCCCUGUGCAUGGACAAAAUAUAAAAUUAGGCCUUACUGUUGAAUUCAGUCUACAUUAAUGAAGUAGUAAAUUACGUUAUACACCAAUUGAGCUGUAGGCAGGAUUAUCGUUGAGACUCUGUGACUCUAUGUCUGUGUGUUUCCUUUUGACCCAGAUAGCAGGGAAAGAUUGACUCCGGUGUUGUAUACCUGACAAAGGGUCAGAGUGUGUAGGAUGAAUUAUUACGUUUCCAGAGCUAGGGCAUGAGAAAAGAUAUUUGUCAAGUAGUCUCAGCGAGUAUUAAUUUCUAGAGCUAGGACAAAAAGGUCAGCCGAUUAAGGAAAUUUGAGAAAUAUAUUUGUUUGGCCAAAGCGAAGUAUUAUCUCUCUGUCUAUCUCGCUUCAGGAGCGUGAGUAACUUAGACAUGGCAAGUAUUUCUUUAUGUUACUGAGUGUUCUGGUAACGUUGCUAGCAAGAAACGCUGAUUGGGUUGAGUGUGAGGCGUUGUUAGUCAACCCCAUUCCCAAAUUGACCUUUUUGUGCUUGAAGUAAACAUUCUGGUACAAGAACGGCUAGCUUUGCAUUAGAGGCUAAGCUAACAAAGAGAGAGAAGCCAUUCUCCUUUGUUUACAGCGAAAUCCCGCACCUUGUGCGACAGAAGUCCUGCCUUUGCUGGAAUCCCGUGUGAUUUCAGCUUUCAGGGGUAAGUGACCCCUUGUGGUGAAGUAAUUAUUUUUGGAGAAAAAAAUCUAUUGUGAGGGCAAAUGUAUUCUCACAUCGGUAACAACUGGUUACACUACAUAAUAUCCAACGAACCUCAACUGAUUGGAUAUCAUUGUCUUGUUCGAUUCAACAAGGAAAUUUAAAUUGCCAAACAAACCUUUUACCAGGUUGAUCACUCAUAAGUUAAUUUGUUCCUACGAAUGAGACAUUUUAAACUUGUCAAUCUUAACUUAGAUACAGCGACGCUUCCAGGUUAAUUAAAGUUGAAUUCCCUGAGAGCCUAUACGGGUAUGACUAAUCAUGAACAUUACAUUGGUAAGAAGUAUUGACAAGCUGAAUGCACCAAGCUGUCUGCACUGGGCACCCAUGCAUACCCCACAAGACAUUCCACCAGAGGUCUCGUCACAGUCUCCAAGUCCAGAACAGACUAUGGGAGGCACACAGUACAAAGAGCCAUGACUACAUGGAACUCUAUUCCACAUCAAGUAACUGAUGCAGCAGUAGAUUCAGAUUUUAAAAAUACACUUUAUGGAACAGCGGGGACUGUGAAGAGACACACACAAAGGUACAGACACAUGCAUACACACGCUAGACAUGCCAAUGUCAAUGAGAUGAGUUUGGAUUGGUCUGUCAUGUAGCAUGCUUCUGUCUAUAACAUGAGCUGCUCAGUAUGUGUAGGUAAUACUUUCUAACACAGCUUUUUUGAAAGAUGUCACAAAGAACUGCAAAAAACCUCUGUCUCCAGAUUACAUCUUCAAACGAAGGCAACCAGGACAUGCAUGACAGAGAGGGAAAGGCGUUCACCCAUGUAUACGGGUAAGAGAGUCUAGCUAGCUACAUUUUCAGAUAUUAUGCAUUUCUAAUUUUGUCAAGAAGUUGUUUUCAUUGCAAGUUAAAGCAUACUGUUAGCUAGCUAGUAGCCAUUUCACUUUACCGUUUACACCUUCUGUAUCCUGUGCAUGUGACAAAAUAAACUUAGAUUUUAUUUGAUAUAGUGUGUGUUUACCAGAGACGGUAAUGUGAAGAAAAACAUGACCUGGUUGCUGACGUCAUGUAGCCUGCAGUUUUUGUGUUUACACUUUUUCAUUAGGACAACGACAACUUUGAUGUCGGACGACAAUAUAAUGUUCAUGAUUUUUUAAUUUUUAAUUUUAU